rnacentral:rRNA from 1 species
CCUACGGGAGGCAGCAGUGAGGAAUAUUGGUCAAUGGGCGAGAGCCUGAACCAGCCAAGUCGCGUGAAGGAUGACGGCCCUACGGGUUGUAAACUUCUUUUGUCAGGGAGCAAUUAGGUCCACGCGUGGUCUUAGCGCGCGUACCUGAAGAACAAGCAUCGGCUAACUCGGUGCCAGCAGCCGCGGUAAUCCGGAGGAUGCGAGCGUUAUCGGGAUUUAUUGGGUUUAAGGGGUGCGUAGUCGGAAUAUCAAGUCAGCGGUAAAAAUUCGGGGCUAAACCCCGUCGUGCCGUUGAAACUGAUGUUCUUGAGUGGGCGAGAAGUAUGCGGAAUGCGUGGUGUAGCGGUGAAAUGCAUAGAUAUCACGCAGAACUCCGAUUGCGAAGGCAGCAUACCGGCGCCCAACUGACGCUGAAGCACGAAAGCGUGGGUAUCGAACAGGAUUAGAUACCCUAGUAGUC